rnacentral:tRNA from 1 species
UGCAACUUAGUUUAUCUAGAACUAUCAACUUGCACUUGAUGAGAGAAGUUUUUCAGUAGCAG